AAACCUCCACAGCUCUCUCCAGCAAAGGCAGUUCCCAGAUGCACCCCUGGAAAGAUGUAACAUUUGUUCACCAUGAAUUUUCCAAGUUUACAUGAGACUUAGAGCCAACUCAAUUAGUUAUGCUGAUGGAAAAAAGACUAGCACAAGUAAUUGAAAACCACAGACAAUUCAAAGCUCCAUGGACAACUACUAGG